GAUGAACGCUGGCGGCGUGCCUAAUACAUGCAAGUCGAGCGAACAGACGAGGAGCUUGCUCCUCUGACGUUAGCGGCGGACGGGUGAGUAACACGUGGAUAACCUACCUAUAAGACUGGGAUAACUUCGGGAAACCGGAGCUAAUACCGGAUAAUAUAUUGAACCGCAUGGUUCAAUAGUGAAAGACGAUUUUGCUGUCACUUAUAGAUGGAUCCGCGCCGCAUUAGCUAGUUGGUAAGGUAACGGCUUACCAAGGCAACGAUGCGUAGCCGACCUGAGAGGGUGAUCGGCCACACUGGAACUGAGACACGGUCCAGACUCCUACGGGAGGCAGCAGUAGGGAAUCUUCCGCAAUGGGCGAAAGCUUGACGGAGCAACGCCGCGUGAGUGAUGAGGGUCUUCGGAUCGUAAAACUCUGUUAUUAGGGAAGAACAAAUGUGUAAGUAACUAUGCACGUCUUGACGGUACCUAAUCAGAAAGCCACGGCUAACUACGUG
rnacentral:rRNA from 1 species